CGAGCAUGUCACGAUGAAACAGCGGUUCUCGUCCGGACACCGAAGUUAAGAAACGCCGAGCCUGAUCAGUACCUAAAUGGGUGACCGCUGUGGAAUACCAG